UGAUCAAGCGGAGGAUUAGAACCACUGACCUCCUGCUUUGUAGUCUACUGCUCUAUCCAUUACGCCACCUGCC